rnacentral:rRNA from 1 species
GAUGAACGCUAGCGGCAGGCCUAAUACAUGCAAGUUGAACGGGCUUUGGUCUUCGGGCCAGAGUUAGUGGCGCACGGGUGCGUAACGCGUACACAACAUACCCUUGACUGGGGGAUAGCGGUGGGAAACUGCCAGUAAUACCCCAUGCCCUUGCGGAGUGGCAUUAUUUUGCAAGGAAAGUUACGGCGGUUGAGGAUUGGUGUGCGUCCGAUUAGCUAGUUGGCGGGGUAACGGCCCACCAAGGCGACGAUCGGUAGGGGGUGUGAGAGCAUGGCCCCCCACACGGGUACUGAGACACGGACCCGACUCCUACGGGAGGCAGCAGUAAGGAAUAUUGGACAAUGGGCGGAAGCCUGAUCCAGCCAUGCCGCGUGAAGGAAGAAGGCGCUCAGCGUUGUAAACUUCUUUUGAAUGGGAACAAUAACCUCCACGAGUUGGGGGCUUGAGGGUACCAUUAGAAUAAGCACCGGCUAACUCCGUGCCAGCAGCCGCG